CAAAAAACUUUGCAGAGAUGAGUAAGAUUUAUAAGCCUCAAUAAGAGAGCCGAUGGAUGGUGAAAUUCGGUGUGGUGGAGAAUCUGAAAAUGGUCUUUGAUUACAGUAAUUAGGCGAUCUUUGGUAAGUCUAAUUCGGGUGCGCCCGUUACCGCGUCAGAGUAUCUUAAUCAUCUGACCUCUAUGAUUAACGUACUUGUUGAGAAGUAGCCAGUGAUGGCUGCUUGAAUUCAGGGUGGUAACACGUGCCGACGUCCCGUAG
rfam:Lactobacillus kunkeei strain LAko contig007, whole genome shotgun sequence.